GACCAAGGAGUCUAGCAUGUGCGCGAGUCAUUGGGACUCUAAUAAACCUAAAGGCGCAAUGAAAGUAAAAGUCCGCCUUGCGCGGACCGAGGGAGGAUGGGCUCGUUUUUAAGACGAACCCCGCACUCCCGGGGCGUCUCGUUCUCAUCGCGAGAAGAGGCGCACCCAGAGCGUACACGCUGGGACCCGAAAGAUGGUGAACUAUGCCUGGUCAGGACGAAGUCAGGGGAAACCCUGAUGGAGGUCCGUAGCGAUUCUGACGUGCAAAUCGAUCGUCGGAACUGGGUAUAGGGGCGAAAGACUAAUCGAAC
rnacentral:rRNA from 1 species